CAAAUCAAAUGGUUUACCUGGAAUAAUGGUUGCGCACUCAAUGGGAAAUGUCAUCUUUCGAUACUUUCUGGAAUGGUUACGGAAUGAGAUGCGUGAAGAAGCCUAUGCGCGUUAUGUGAAACGCGCUGAGCGACGUGCUG
rnacentral:ribozyme from 1 species